rnacentral:rRNA from 1 species
CAGAAACUACAAAGGAAUUGACGGGGCCCGGCACAAGCGGUGGAGUAUGUGGUUUAAUUCGAUGCAACGCGAAGAACCUUACCUGGUCUUGACAUCCCGGAGACCCUUAGGAAACUAGGGGGUGCUUCCAUCUGGAAGAAUCUGGAGACAGGUGCUGCAUGGCUGUCGUCAGCUCGUGUCGUGAGAUGUUGGGUUAAGUCCCGCAACGAGCGCAACCCUUGCCUUUAGUUGCCAGCAGUUCGGCUGGGCACUCUAAAGGGACUGCCGGUGUUAAACCGGAGGAAGGUGGGGAUGACGUCAAGUCCUCAUGGCCUUUAUGACCAGGGCUACACACGUACUACAAUGGCCGAUACAAAGGGCAGCGACACUGCGAGGUGAAGCCAAUCCCGUAAAAUCGGUCUCAGUCCGGAUUGGAGUCUGCAACUCGACUCCAUGAAGUUGGAAUCGCUAGUAAUCGUGGAUCAGCAUGCCACGGUGAAUACGUUCCCGGGCCUU